rnacentral:rRNA from 1 species
UACCAGCACCCCGAGUGGUCGGGACGUUUAUUGGGCCUAAAGCAUCCGUAGCCGGUUCUACAAGUCUUCCGUUAAAUCCAGCUGCUCAACAGAUGGGCUGCGGAGGAUACUACAGGGCUAGGAGGCGGGAGAGGCAAGCGGUACUUUAUGGGUAGGGGUAAAAUCCGUUGAUCCAUAGAAGACCACCAGUGGCGAAGGCGGCUUGCCAGAACGCGCUCGACGGUGAGGGAUGAAAGCUGGGGGAGCAAACCGG